GACGAACGCUGCCGGCGCGCUUAACACAUGCAAGUCGAACGGAAAGGCCCUGCUUUUGUGGGGUGCUCGAGUGGCGAACGGGUGAGUAACACGUGAGUAACCUGCCCUUGAUUUUGGGAUAACUUCAGGAAACUGGGGCUAAUACCGGAUAGCAGCUCCUGCUGCAUGGUGGGGGUUGGAACGUUUCGGCGGUUGGGGAUGGACUCGCGGCUUAUCAGCUUGUUGGUGGGGUAGUGGCUUACCAAGGCGUUGACGGGUAGCCGGCCUGAGAGGGUGACCGGCCACAUUGGGACUGAGAUACGGCCCAGACUCCUACGGGAGGAAGCAGUGGGGAAUAUUGCACAAUGGGCGGAAGCCUGAUGCAGCAACGCCGCGUGCGGGAUGACGGCCUUCGGGUUGUAAACCGCUUUCGCCUGUGACGAAGCGUGAGUGACGGUAAUGGGUAAAGAAGCACCGGCUAACUACGUG
rnacentral:rRNA from 1 species